CAAACCUGGGUGCACGGAUGUUCACAGGGACGCUAUUCAUCAUAACCCCAAACCAGGAGCCACCAAAUUCCAUCAGGUGGUGAAAUGGAAGGAAACAAAAUAUCAACACAGAGGACAAUGGGGAUGAAUCUCAAAAACAGCAUGCUCAGUGAAGGGUCUCAAACACAAAAGAUGGUGAAAUUUCAUGGUAUAAAAAGUAUUUGAUAAAAUUCAACACAAUUUAUUUCAUUGUAUGAAAUUAUAGAGAAGGGAACACUUUAGUGACAGACAGCAGAUCAGUAUAUUGCUUGGGAUGGAGGAGGGGAGUGGAAGGGGGAACUGUCCUCUUUCCUGAUGGUGAUGGUGGUAACCAAUCCUAUACAAUUACCAAAAUUCACCAAGCCAUGCAUUUUGGAAAGGAGAAUCUUAUUAUGUAUUAUUAAACAGGUGAGAAUUUUCACCAACAAAAGAAGCAUGGCUGGCCACAGAGGCUAACUGGUGGUCGACUUGCAUUCCAGUUAUAAGACCUAGAACACUGAACAAGGUACAUGAAAAACGUGAAAAAAUUUCCAGACAUUGAAUAGCAUGCAGCCUGGGCCUGAAAUCCCUGGGAAACAAAGAGACUGUGAGGUGGUCCUGAUGGUCACCCAGCCCUCCUGCCCACGUGCAUUCUCUCCCUCCCACACUGUAGCACAGGAAGCAGCUGCCAAGGAGUAAGGCAGACCCCGUGAAUAAAGGAGGGAGGUCACAGACGGCCAAGCCAGGUGGCUGGGGUUUCCAGAGGUCCGAGCUCUGCAGAGAAGGAACUCCAGAGAUCAGCUGGGAAGCCAGUGGUGUCUUGGACUAAAUAUGCAGACUGCAGGUGCCCCGAGAGGGAAUUCGUGAAGCAAGACCUAGAGGCCGUGAGGGCACCAACCUGCAGCAUCCCCAGGGCUCACACUUCAGCCCAGCCAGAGGGGGGGUAUAAACAACAUGGGUGGACCUCAAAUAUACUGGGAGAAGGGAAAGACAUCAGACCAAGAAGACCACCUGUCGUGUGAUCACGUUUCUAUGAAAUAUUCAGAAAAGGCAAAAACUCUAGAGCUAGAAACGUAGAUCUGAAUUUGCCUGGGGUCAGAGGCAGGGUCAGGAAUAGUCCACAAAUGGUCUCGAAACAGACUGUAAAGGGAUCACAAAUGGAAGUACUGGGGGCAACGGGAGUGCUCUGGAGCUGGAUUACGGUGACAACUGCACAACAGAAUAAAUUUACCCAAAGUCAUGAAACUUAAAGAAAAAGGCUCCUGGCAUGCUAAUGGGCCCUGGUAGAUAUGGAG
rnacentral:lncRNA from 1 species